UAAGCGGAGGAAAAGAAACUAACAAGGAUUCCCCUAGUAACGGCGAGUGAACCGGGAAGAGCUCAAAUUUGUAAUCUGGCUGUCUUCGAUAGUCCGAGUUGUAAUCUAUAGAAGCGUUUUCCGUGCUGAACUGUGUAUAAGUCCCUUGGAACAGGGUAUCAAAGAGGGUGACAAUCCCGUACUUUACACAAUCAUCAGUGCUCUGUGAUACGUUCUCUACGAGUCGAGUUGUUUGGGAAUGCAGCUCAAAAUGGGUGGUAAAUUCCAUCUAAAGCUAAAUAUUGGCGAGAGACCGAUAGCGAACAAGUACCGUGAGGGAAAGAUGAAAAGCACUUUGGAAAGAGAGUUAAACAGUACGUGAAAUUGUUAAAAGGGAAACGAUUGAAGUCAGUCGUGUUUAUUGGAUUCAGCCGGUCUUCGGUGUACUUCCUUUAAACGGGUCAACAUCAGUUUUGUUCGGUGGAUAAAGAUGCUAGGAAUGUAGCUUCCUCGGAAGUGUUAUAGACUAGUAUUGCAUACACUGGAGGAGACUGAGGACUGCAGCUCGCCUUUUGGCCGGGGUUCGCCCACGUUCGAGCUUAGGAUGUUGACAUAAUGGCUUUAAACGACCCGUCUUGAAACACG
rnacentral:rRNA from 1 species